rnacentral:lncRNA from 1 species
UUUUGUUGCUGCAAGCUUAUAAUUUGUUUCUACUUGCUUCUUUCAGCUGGCCAGCUUCACAGGGAAGAGAACAGCUGCAGAGAGGUCAUACAUAUCUGCUCUCUGCAGAAUACUCGUCCUGAUCCAGUUUAGGAUAUCAGAGCAAGACACAAUAAAGCUAAUGAGACUACUUCUGAAUCAACUGAUUGGAAAUGUACCUCUAGAUAAAGAUGUCUUGAAAGAACUGAAGCUGAUGGCUGAACGUCUAAGUUCAAUGGAUAGUCAACCAGAAGAGGAACUACACCAGGAUCAGGCCAACCUUGUAUUUGGUACGUUCCCCUCAUCCUCG